rnacentral:lncRNA from 1 species
AUUAUGAUAAAAAUAAAACACAAUGGAGCUCAAGAUCACCAUCAGAUUAUAAGGUAGGAUCAAAUUCAGUACGCUCAUAUGAACACGAAAGAUAGCCAUUCGACAUAAAGUUCAAAACAAAAGCGAGAAGACAUAAGAGGAGGUAAUAAGAACAGGAACAUAAUAAAGGAGAGCCAACUACGGAGCCAUAAGCACUAAGCAUACUAAUAAGUGGCGUAAUUCAUCUGCCUUGUCGAUGUACUUCAUAGGGCCGUCUCACACGAACCUGAUACAAACAAACAGUGAGACAUAUAGAAUAGAAUGAUUCCUAAUAUCUUGAACUUUACCAGUAGGCCAAUAAGAAUCAAUAUGGUCCAAGUAAGAAAUGGGCCUUAUCUAAUACAUCAAUCAAAUCCAAGGAAAUUUAUCUUUGUAUUCAUCAUUCCAUCAACCAUUAAUAAAACAAGAGUCUACUGAAGAGUCACUCAGAAACAAAGUUUGUUUGGAUGCACAAAUUGAGAAGCCACCAAACAAUAUAUGAACAUAAAAGUAUAUUUCAUGAUUGGUUUAGCAGCUUAAGAAAGUGAUCAAAUCGUCUCUCUAAACUAUAUCAUCAUUGGCACUAAAAUGCAUAUUCAACAUUGUCGACGAAAACAGAAUACACAAUCCUUGUUGAUAGCUAACCGUGGAUUUAAUAUUCUACAACCUAGACCUCGUGUUAUCAAUGCACAGAACAAAAAAGAACGUAUAUGCAGCUUCAUCACAAAAUACAUGAACGUAUAACAAAAACUCGGCAUAUAGAAAACUAAAGUCUCCAUAACAUAGACCAACGGGAAUGAUGACAGGAUGCAUCGAGAAGAAAGAGCAUUAUAUGUACAAUAAGACAAAAUUACCUUGAUAGGCCUAGUAGCAGUUAUGAAACGACAGAGGUGGCAUCUAAUAGCGCACCCUGCGCCCUUUUUUCCAGAUGUCCUUCCAAGCGGCUGCUUGUGUCUUCCAUUAUGCUCAGCAGAAAAUCAUCGACGACCGAUGCUUUAAAGAAGCAACAAGAUGUGAGUCCACAAGUGAUAGUUGGGUAAGUAACACACAUGCGUGUUAUCAAGCCAUCUACAGGUCAGUUACCAAUCGAUCCAUAUACAUAGGGACCUCAGAAUCUGUAACAAUAGUUGCUCCAUCAAUACACAAUAAGAAAGCAUAGAAGGCCAAUGUUUUUCCUACCAAGCCAUAUGGAUCUUCUGAAAGCACAAGAAAGGAUAUCAUCUUACAGUAGCUAGUUAACAGCACAACAAAAGGGAUUAUAAACUAGCCAGAUCAUAUACAUCUUCUAAUCCAGGGCUUUGUUUAAAAGGGCUUCAAAGGGCAAAUCGUCGACAUUCUAGUUUGCCUUUUUGUUUGUGAUUUACAUCUGCUCAUCCAUAGCUUUGUUGUUGUUUAGGGAUCUGUCUAGGGUUUGCUCUCGUGCUUUUCCCCAACCUCAGUACGCGCCACCACGGCAGGCGCCAGACUCCUUCGACACAGGUCUACCUUUUUCUUUCCUUGGUGUUCGUCUUCUAGAUGGAUUUUAUCCUUUGGGUUACUGCAGUAGAUUAUGUUGUCGCGAAUGACUGUAUUUCAAUAUAUACUAUCCGAGGAUGAUGGCAUAGGUAUAUGAUCUGACUGGUUUAUAAUCCCUUUUAUUAAGAUCAGAUAAGGUUGGGUAUAUCCGAUCUUUACAAAGGGUGAGAAUGUGUAUAAUUUGUGGUUUUUUAUUGGUGCAAUGCUAACUAAAAUGAUAAAACAUGUUGCUUUAGAUAAUACAACAAAUUAUGAAACCUUAGGACACCUAAAAAAUGAAGUAGCAUAUUCUACUGUGAAGCAUUUGACGGUAUCGAUGAAGUGCUUUUGAAUAGAAUAUGAAUUUCCCAAAUGCACCGCUUACCUUGAUUUGCAAUGUUCUAAAGCAAAUAAUAUAAGGUAUUAUGUAUGAACUUUAAUACUGGUGAUAUAGAGAGAAAAUGAACAUGUGCAAGGUUACUGAAUAACCAGUCAAGAACUGAUAUUUGUAUGGAAGUAUGGAUUGAGAAAUCUAACACCUGAACAAGAAGGUCCAUGCUUUAUCAUGUCAAAUAAAUAAGAAGAGAGCACCUCGACAAACAUACACUUAUUGCCAUUUCCUCAAACAUCUUGCAUUUUGCUUAAAAGCGUCACAUAUGUGCAGCAACAAAGUGAUAUGUUCUCUAAGAGCAACUACAAAAAAAUGAAUCUGAAUUAGGGGAGAAGAUGAUUACUGACAUGGAGAAAAAUCAACUUGGAGAGAGAGACCUGAGAUCAUGUAAUUAACUGCGAGGACAACAAUGAAAGUAACAUGCAUCAUUUCUUUCUUCUGCUGUCAGAAUUGAGAUCUUGUGACCACCAUUAGCAAAUCAGACAUGAGAUCAUGUCAAACAUUUAGUCAUAAAUAUUGUCUUUAGCAGGUUUUGAGUAUCACAAUAGGCUAAUAAUUAAUCAUGAUGUAAUUGCAUGGUACUCCAUGACUUUCUUUUGCUUCAUAUGAACAUAUUUCUCUAUGAAACACUCACGGUUCGUAUUAGUCUCCUGCCUUCAAAGUGAAAGGUUUCAGUUCUAGGAUUUGUAAUGAAGGAACUGCUUAUGCAAUGAAGAUAAUGUCUCUAAAUACAUGAAGCGCAGCUCUAAGUUUUGUAAAAAGCACCAAAAGAGAGAAAGGUGAACAAUGAAAAUUAUGAAGUAGCAGGGUAAAUGACUAAAUAAAUAAAAGUUUAAGAAUAUAGAGGAAUAGUAUUGUGCAUGCAUUAACCAUUCAUGGAUGCUAUUAGGAAUGCAUGACAACAUCAAUGGCCAGUAAGUACAAAUUUAAGAUAAAGUUUAGAUAACUUCUUCAGCUCCACCCAAAGUCUAAGCGAUCUAUAAUUUUACACUUUACACAUCCCCAAAAUCUAGGAAAAAUGGAUGGCAAGAUCUCUUAAACUGCAAGCCUAAUGCUACUAAAUCACACUUCAUUUUCAAUGGAGGUGACAUUACCUUUUGAAUCACUGGCACUAUUCUCACUAAAACGAUAGGAGCAUAGGGCCCUGAGCAAAAGAAGAAGAAAACAAAAAGAUUUAGUUAGCGGCCAUAGGAGGACAAAGAAAGUAAAUUGUACUCUAUAUAGGUAGCUACAAUAAUGUCCUAAAUUGAAUUAAAAUAUAACAAUCAGAUCCAGUUGUACAUGUUUGGGCCCAACGGAUCAGAGAACAUAUAGUGCAGCUCAUCUAGUACUUAUAUGAAUAAAAACAAACUAAAACCGCUACAUGGAAUAUCCGGGCAAACUGGCACUACAUCAACUGUGUGAAAACUCUGUUUGGGAUACAAGUGAGAUAAAAAGAAAGCGCAAGCAAUCAUCUCCACUCCCCACAAGAAACCUGCUCGCUUACAGCAACACAACUGGAAUAAAAAAAUCUAAACGAAGAGUAGACAUGUUAUAGCAAUUGAAGUCACAAAGAGGUGACUAUAUCUUUUGGAACUAACAAUAAAAACAGAACCAAGAUACAAAGUUACAGACAUGUGAAUGCAUCUUUUGUUUCACACCCACUGAAUUGAACUGGAGUUACCAAGAGCAGAGGAAACAGAGUAGUAAAGCACUGGAGAGUAGUAAUGCGGUUUUUUUUCAUGCAGCUUUAAUUUACUUCCGUUUUGUUCUUAAGUGGUGUAACAAGUAUGUGAAUCAUAGAGAGAGGCACAUUCACUGAUACAAAUCCUAGCCGAUGAGUAUUAGUUGAGCAGAAAUAAUCGCCAAUGCAAGUAGAGCUUUCACAAGUGACCAAUCAAUUUAUGCACUCACUCAUUUAGUAAGAUUUUAUCCGUGAAUGUGAAGAAAACAAACAGGGUAAAAAUUAGCUGGUUCGUGAAUGCACACAGAUCCCGUCUACUAAUUGUGGCUGAAUAUAUGCUUCAUAACAGUCCAACACAAGUAUGUACAUACGUACAAUGUCAUUUAACUUGGAUAAUUAAGCACAACAAAUUCGUUCCGUGACAUUUUCACCUAAAACAUGUGAAUGGUAUGUGACAACGUGCUUUUGUCCCCAUCCGUUUCAGAACAAAACUGACGAAGAAUAAUAACACACAGGCCAUGCAUGAUCGAGUUGAUCUGAUCACUGUACAGUAAUUCAACAAAGCUUUAAAUUUCAGGGACAAGGGAAACCCAACCACAUUUUUCAUAAAUUUUAUGAAACUUAUAGAAAUCAAGUAUUCAGCAGAAAUAUUUCUGAAUGCAAAUAGAGUUUACUUCCUACCAAAUGCAUAAAAGCUUCUGGGGACAGAGUAUGAGUGAAUAAAGUACAGCGUACGUUUUCAGACUACAAUGCCUGAUAGUGGGACCCAUAACCUGCAGGUCGUUGGACGUGGACGAAGACUUGAAUUCUGCCACAUAUCGAUGAGUGUGGUAAUAGAUACAGACCAGCGACGGGAAGAACUACAGAUCUGCAGGAAAAAGAGAUCGAUGAGUCAUAGUACCUAACCAUGAUACCACAAUGGUUGGAAUGGUAUCAACACAAGCUUGGUAUUAUUUUAGACCAAUUAUAUCUGAUAGAAAUUCACAAAGAAGUAUAUUAUAGAGAACACAAUACUAUAUAUUGAGCUGAUGCUUCAAACUAAACUCCCAUGAUUCAGGAGUGCAGUACUCAAAAAAGUAUACAGAAUGGUGGAUUAUGCCGAAUCGGUGAUAUAGAUUAACUAAUUACAGAUAGAACCAUUUGAUUAGGCAUAAUAAUAAAAUUAUUUGUUUUCACUGCACACAAAAGUACUUCAUUAUAAAAGAUAGGACAUACGUCCACUAUUGUUUAUCUCGGGAUCAAAUGACAAAUAUGAAAUCUCUAUAACUAUAUCAGCACCUCGUGGCUCUAAAGCCAAGAUUGCUUUUUUUGUCUCCUCACACCUGUAUUCUUGCUAGCAAAUCUAAAUCCAUGUGUCCCUCAUCAUACUGCAACGUACAGCUUACUGCAAUUGUAGAUGGAGAAUCUCCAACAACUCACUUGUGAAAUGAGAAAUCAAAUGUUUUCAGAAGUUCUACUACCAUCUAUGAACCCGUUCGAGAACAAACAAUUAUCAAGAUUGCAUCAAACAUAAGUAAAAAAAUAGAGGGGAGGGGGAGGUAAAAUAAGCUACCUAAACACCCAAGAAAUCUGCAUCCACUGCCAGGUAAAAGGCGAGUCGGCAAUCAACACCAUGAUAUGUACUUGCAAAACAAAUAAGAAAGCAUACAAACAAAUUAGUGUCAAUCGGGUGAAGAAAAAGGAAAGAAAAUGAAAGAUGGAAGAAGAAAAAGAAACUGCAAUUUCUAGGGCCCGGGAGCCGGCAGCGCGCCCUCCACGUGGUCA